rnacentral:rRNA from 1 species
AACGAACGCUGGCGGCAGGCUUAACACAUGCAAGUCGAACGCCCCGCAAGGGGAGUGGCAGACGGGUGAGUAACGCGUGGGAACAUACCCUUUCCUGCGGAAUAGCUCUGGGAAACUGGAAUUAAUACCGCAUACGCCCUACGGGGGAAAGAUUUAUCGGGGAAGGAUUGGCCCGCGUUGGAUUAGCUAGUUGGUGGGGUAAAGGCCUACCAAGGCGACGAUCCAUAGCUGGUCUGAGAGGAUGAUCAGCCACAUUGGGACUGAGACACGGCCCAAACUCCUACGAGAGGCAGCAGUGGGGAAUAUUGGACAAUGGGCGCAAGCCUGAUCCAGCCAUGCCGCGUGAGUGAUGAAGGCCCUAGGGUUGUAAAGCUCUUUUGUGCGGGAAGAUAAUGACGGUACCGCAAGAAUAAGCCCCGGCUAACUCUGUGCCAGCCGCCGCGGUAAGAC